GUAUUUGGGGAGGGUGUUGUUAACGAUGCUACAUCUGUGGUGCUUUUCAAUGCUAUCCAGAGCUUUGAUCUCACUCACAUUGAUUCCAGAAUUGCUUUGCAUUUUAUGGGCAACUUCUUAUAUUUGUUUUUCACAAGCACCAUGCUAGGAGUGUUUGCAGGGCUGCUCAGUGCUUACAUUAUUAAAAAGCUUUAUUUUGGCAGGCACUCUACAGAUCGCGAGGUUGCUCUUAUGAUGCUCAUGGCAUACCUGUCAUAUAUACUGGCUGAAGUAAGCUUCUCCUCUACUCUGGGCAGAUGAUGACCAAUCCUUUGCUGAGGAGGAUUCUCACUUUUCUGGUGAGCGGUACUUUCAAGCGAAAAAUGUUGAACCAAUUGUAACAUCAGAUGAUCCUAUAGGACUAACAGUGACUGAAUUGUAUGCGAGGAGUGAUGAGAAUGAUUUAAUAGCUCAAUAUGAUGGACAGUUGAUGUACAUCACAGCAAGGCAGUUGAACACCAAGAUCAGUGAGGAGAUAGCAAAGCCAGUUGAGCUCGGCAGCUGCAUUAGCUACUGACCUGUACUCAGCUUCAGUGGAAGACCUUGCAACAGAUUUUUGCUUUUUAGAACUCCAGGAGACGGGAUUACACCCAAGAUAGAUGACAUAAGCACUGGUGGAUGAAAAAUCAUUCUUGUCACCUG